GAUGAAGAACGCAACGAAAUGCGAUAAGUAAUGUGAAUUGCAGAAUUCAGUGAAUCAUCGAAUCUUUGAACGCACAUUGCGCCCGCCAGUAUUCUGGCGGGCAUGCCUGUCCGAGCGUCAUUUCAACCCUCGAACCCCUCCGGGGGGUCGGCGUUGGGGACCUCGGGAGCCCCUAAGACGGGAUCCCGGCCCCGAAAUACAGUGGCGGUCUCGCCGCAGCCUCUCCUGCGCAGUAGUUUGCACAACUCGCACCGGGAGCGCGGCGCGUCCACGUCCGUAAAACACCCAACUUCUGAAAUGUUGACCUCGGAUCAGGUAGGAAUACCCGCUGAACUUAAGCAUAUCAAUAAGCGGAGGA
rnacentral:misc_RNA from 1 species